rnacentral:lncRNA from 1 species
CUCCACGCGGCCCACGCUGCCCCCGGGUGGUCGCCGUGCACUCUCUGUCUCAAGGUAGGCCAGCUCCGGACUCGCCAGGAGCUGAUUCUGAUCCAUCUGGUUUUGCUGUGUCUCUGUUUAGGUCCAGCCCCCGGAAACACACACCCGCAGCCCGACCACGCCACGAUUGAAGCCCCGGGUCAAAGUGGUUCGGGUGACCGCACUCGCUUCUCGCAACGCCGCCCCCCUGCGGCGUAGGGAACCCCAUCCUGUCCAGAGCGGCCUGUGGCGUGGUGAGUGCAGGCUUUUCUCCACAACUUGGUUCUUUUCAGAUUCAUCAAAGAUUGCGCAACAAACCUUGAUCUUUGGCAAAGGCGCUCUGGUCUCAGUAAAUGCUGAAGUCCUAAAACCACGAGAGGAAAUGGGUGCGUCGGAGCCUGAAACCAGGGCGAACACGCCACGUGCUCCCGGAUCUUCAGAGCCACUGGCUGCAGAUCUGGUACUGCGGGCUGCUCAGGGCCCUGGUGUUCCUCCCAGGCAGCAGGACCUUGGCUUCUGGUCUGAGUGAGGGGCGUGCUUCCUCUCCUGCUCAGAAUUGAAUACCGGCUGACCCCAGUGAUCACUCCAGCUCUUUGAAGCUAACAUCAGCCCACCUGCUCCCUGUAAACAGUAAUACACGGACAGUACCUAUAGCAUAAACGUGAUAGGGGUUCCUUUGACGAAGACAUGACACGGGUAAGGAGAUGGCCUUUACUCCUCUUCCUGCUCUCCCACCGUAGAGGAUGUGGUUACCACUUUAAGACCAUGAUUUAGUAAAGGACCUGUCUGUCCCAUGAGAAACCCAUUGCUGGGUCCAGCAAUCCCCUGGAUUUCCACGGUACCAGCCAAGUUCCUGCAAAUUAGGUAAAACCCUACAGCUGGGGGGAAGGGGGCGAUCCUUGGUUCAUCAGGUAAGUUUGUAUACAUCCUGCUACCACACUUUCAAAACAAGAAUGAAGUACACCUCCUCCCCAGAGCCCCCAACCAGUAUCCCUAAGCAGCUUCUGGAGAGUCCUCUGAAGGUUCUAACCCGGUGUCGGUGUCGUCACCCUCCUCCCCAGCCUGGCUCCUCACUAAAGGACUCCCAGGACCCCAAAAGACAUCAUUCUACUGAGGGUUCAGACUGCUUCUUAGAAGCAGAAGUGAGAGGUUUGGAGGGACGCAAUACCAACGUCCAAGGAGGCUACCCUCAGCCACUAAAAAAAGAAAAGAAAAAAUCACUCCAGGUUUGUCAAGUGUUCUCUCUCUGUAGGUUGGAAUGUUCAUCUCUUCAUGAUGGUGUGCCAGGAUGCAUAAAUGGUACCAUGUGAUGAGAAAGAAGUGGCUUUGAAAGAAGCAGCCAUCAGAAGAGACCAAGAAGACAGAGGAAAGGACUCUGAGGGGAACGUACAUGCUCCUUCUAUCACCACCUUUCCCUUGGGGUGUGCGUGUGUGUGUGUGUGUGUGUGUGUGUAUGUGUGUGUAGCUUGUGUGUGUGUGCACUUGCCUGUGGUAGCUUGUGUGUGUGUGUGCACUUGCCUGUGGUAGCUUGUGUGUGUGUGUAUACUUGCUUGUGGUAGCUUUGUGUGUGUGUGUGUAUGUGUGUAUACUUGCCUGUGGUAGCUUGUGUGUGUGUGUGUGUGUGCACUUGCCUGUGGUAGCUUGUGUGUGUGUGUGUGUGUAUGUGUGUGUGUGUGUGUGUGCACUUGCCUGUGGUAGCUUGUGUGUGUGUGUGUGUGUGUGUGCACUUGCCUGUGGUAGCUUGUGUGUGUGUGUGUGUGUGUGCACUUGCCUGUGGUAGUUUGUAAAUAUCAGAGGCUGAGAGGCUGAUUUCAGGAUAUCCUCUUUAAUCCUCUCUCAAACCUUUUUGUUGUUAUUUUGUUUGUUUGUUUGUUUGUUUGUUUGUGGGUAGUUUGUUUUGUUUUUUCAAGACGGUGAUUUUCUGUGUAGCCCUGGCUGUUCUGGACACUCAAAGACCUGCCUGUCUCUGCCUCCCAAGGGCUGGGAUUAAAGGAUUUAAAUCUCUUGACCCAUGUGAACGGCUGAUGUGCAGCUGCAAUCCCAGCACCCCCAUCGGCCAGUACACAGUGCACCAGCAGUAAUGAGAGAGACCCCGCUUCAAAAAAGCAAGGGAACCUGUGCCAGCCACCUCCACUCUGCACACCAGACUUCCCUUCAUCAUAAAGUCAGUUAGCCCCGGAGGAUCCCAACAGUGAAAUCCAGAAGACUCGAAUUAAGGACUCUGGAGAAUCUUAUGAGGUCUUGGGAGAGACUGAAGAGGAACUUUCCAAGCACUGGGCUUGGACGAGGUUCCUGUAAGUAUCAGCCACACCCACAAGGCCACAGACCUUUCUACCAAAGGCCUUGUUGUUUUCUAACUGCAGGUAGCCCUGAGCCCAGGGAGCUUCAUGGUGACUUGUGUACUGGGAACAGUAAAAUGUUUCUGGAAUUGUAAUGAGCAAAACUGAAUUCAAACCUCAAAUGCAGAAUGAACGGGAGCUGUUUCUGGUGGCACUCGCCUGUGUCUCACUGUCUGCCUGGUUCUGGCCUCGCUGCUUGAGCACUGUGUGAGCCCAGCUAUGCAGGGCCACCUAAGCUGGGUGAGACAUCUCAGCGCAGAUUCAAGACUAUGGAACCUACAGUGUCUUUACUGGAAGAAGCCAUACCACCUGUCGCCAUAAGAACUGUGCUCAGGAGAGAGGUGGCAAGAAAAACAUGUGGAGCACUCACUCACAGACAGCCUGAGCUUCCCCCUUCAGCUGGUCAGCCACUGCAGACCUCUCCUGACGAGGCUUUCUCUCUUGCUCGUCUCCAUCUCCCUCAUCAGGCAGCUGCCAAGAGGAUCAGCCAGCCUUAAUCUCAAGUAAAACUACUCUCAAACAUAAAAGAAGAAAAAAAUGGAGGCGGAUGCUGAGGGUGUGCGGUUGGUAGCAGGGAACCACUGCUCCUUCCUGCAUCCAAACAUUAACUCCUAAUUGAGCACACACCAGGCAACAGAUCAACAGAAACCUGUCUCAAACUGUAGAAUGUCAAAGGCUCAUUCUACUGAUGGCAAGUCAAUGCCACUGCCCUCAGAGGAACUUGUAAUGAGUGCGUGUCAGACAUUCAAUGAACUCAGACACCAAUGAACUCAUUGUUGUCACAAAGUAAGGGACAAGCACAUGGUACUCUGUGUUUUAGAGAAUCGGAUAUAGAACCAUUUAAUUCCUACAGCAACUGUUCACCCAAUCCCCCUCCUCUCCCCUCCCCCUCCCCCUCCAGGUUCAGGAGGCUGACUGAGUCACACAGAGGAUCUAUAUCAUCCCAAUGUCACCAAUUUCUUGAUGCACCCAUGGAUUCUUUGGGAUAGUGGCUGUGUAUGUCAAGCUGGCCAGCCUCUGGUGUCCGCAGACCGGUCAGAUGCCAAGCAGAUAUUGUUGCAAAGGUGUUUUUGAAGAUGAGGUUGCAUCUCCACACCAGUAUUGUAAAGCAGACCACUGUACAAAUUAUGGUGUAAGUUCCAUGCCAGGUGGCUCCACAGAAGUCUUGCGGCCUUGGAGCUCAAAGAAGCUGCUGCCGGGACAAAGGCAACAGACUCCCUGUGUGCACCACAGGGCCACUUCACAAGGCUUGUUAUUGAGGGCAUCAGGUGAGGAACUGUGAAACCCAAGUGAUCAGAGCCCCUUCAGGAAAGAGCAGCUUUCUUGGCGCUGAAGAAAGCCUGGCUCACACUCACUAAUUACUGGGCUUAGCCACGCCCAUCCUCCUCCCGCUCUUCUCAUUACCUGAACAAGCAAGAGGUAAUUACAGAAGCCAAGCCUCAGCGCCUUCUAGAGAAUGCUGUCAUUCCUGUGACAGGCAAACACCCAUGGCACUGUGUCCAGAUAAGCACGGCAUACUCGCUGGCCAGUUUUUCUCACCCUUAAUGUCUCUUCCAGAUUCACAAAAUGGUUGGUUUUAGAAUUACAGAUAUGA